UCCAGUAUUGGAAUAAUGAGGGGGUUUGGAUCCAGAUGAUACAACAGGUGGAUGUCGAAGAAGUCCUGAUGAGCAGACAAGAAGGACCAACUUAUUUCUCCUCCCAGAAGCUUCUCACCACACUUCCUGGUUGUGAGGACCGUUGCCCCUUCAGGGAGGACCCAGAGCAGCUGAUCCCCAUGGAGAUGAGGAAUCAAGAGCUGAGCUUCCAUCCCUAAGGGAAGCUUCUCGCUGUGGCUGGGGAAGUUCUAAAGGACACUUGGCUCCUGCAAUCCAUCAACAGUGUGUCCAGUGGGGGAAG